rnacentral:rRNA from 1 species
GCUGGGUUCAGAACGUCGUGAGACAGUUCGGUCCCUAUCCGUCGCGGGCGCAGGAAAUUUGAGAGGAGCUGUCCUUAGUACGAGAGGACCGGGAUGGACGCACCGCUGGUGUACCAGUUGUUCUGCCAAGGGCAUCGCUGGGUAGCUAUGUGCGGACGGGAUAAGUGCUGAAAGCAUCUAAGCAUGAAGCCCCCCUCAAGAUGAGAUUUCCCAUUCCGCAAGGAAGUAAGAUCCCUGAAAGAUGAUCAGGUUGAUAGGUCUGAGGUGGAAGUGUGGCGACACAUGGAGCUGACAGAUACUAAUCGAUCGAGGACUUAACCAAUUU